rnacentral:rRNA from 1 species
GUAGUCCACGCCGUAAACGAUGGAUGCUAGCCGUCGGGGAGCUUGCUCUUCGGUGGCGCAGCUAACGUAUUAAGCAUCCCGCCUGGGGAGUACGGUCGCAAGAUUAAAACUCAAAGGAAUUGACGGGGGCCCGCACAAGCGGUGGAGCAUGUGGUUUAAUUCGAGGCAACGCGAAGAACCUUACCAGCUCUUGACAUCCCUGGAACCCUAGCAGAGAUGCAUGGGGGUGCCGCAAGGAACCAGGAGACAGGUGCUGCACGGCUGUCGUCAGCUCGUGUCGUGAGAUGUUGGGUUAAGUCCCGCAACGAGCGCAACCCUCGGCCUUAGUUGCCAUCAUUAAGUUGGGCACUCUAAGGCGACUGCCGGUGAUAAGCCGGAGGAAGGUGGGGACGACGUCAAGUCAUCAUGGCCCUUACGGGCUGGGCUACACACGUGCUACAAUGGCGGUGACAGUGGGCAGCUACACAGCAAUGUGAUGCUAAUCUCAAAAAGCCGCCUCAGUUCAGAUUGCUCUCUGCAACUCGGGUGCAUGAAGUUGGAAUCGCUAGUAAUCGCUAAUCAGCAGGUAGCGGUGAAUACGUUCCCGGGCCUUGUACACACCGCCCGUCACACCAUGGGAGUUGGCUUUACCUGAAGACGGUGUGCUAACCAGCAAUGGAGGCAGCCGGCCACGGUAAGGUCAGCGACUGGGGUG